rnacentral:rRNA from 1 species
CCCUUAGAUGUUCUGGGCCGCACGCGCGCUACACUGAUGCAUUCAACGAGUCUAAAACCUGGUCUGAUAGGGCUGGGUAAUCUUUUGAAUGUGCAUCGUGAUUGGGAUAGAUGAUUGCAAUUCUUCGUCUUCAACGAGGAAUGCCUAGUAAACGCAAGUCAUCAGCUUGCAUUGAUUACGUCCCUGCCCUUUGUACACACCGCCCGUCGCUCCUACCGAUUGAAUGUUCCGAUGAAUACCAUGGACUGAGAGUAUGAAUGGGUUCGCCUAUUUCUGCUUCUCGGGAAGUGGAGUAAAUCUUAACAUUUAGAGGAAGGAGAAGUCGUAACA